UAAGCAUAUCAAUAAGCGGAGGAAAAGAAACUAACAAGGAUUCCCUUAGUAACUGCGAGUGAAGAGGGAAAAGCUCAAAUUUAAAAUCUGGCAGUGUCUCACUGUCCGAGUUGUAACCUAGAGAAGUGUAACCUGCGCUGGACCGUGUAUAAGUCUCCUGGAAUGGAGCGUCACAGAGGGUGAGAAUCCCGUCUUUGACAUGGACCACCAGUGCAUUGUGGUUGUGCUCUCAACGAGUCGAGUUGUUUGGGAAUGCAGCUCUAAAUGGGUGGUAAAUUCCAUCUAAAGCUAAAUAUUGGCGAGAGACCGAUAGCGAACAAGUACCGUGAGGGAAAGAUGAAAAGAACUUUGGAAAGAGAGUUAAACAGUAUGUGAAAUUGUUGAAAGGGAAACGUUUGAAGUCAGUCGCGUUGGUUGGGGAUCAGCCUGACAUUGUUGGGUUUACUUCCUGGUCGACGGGCCAACAUCAGUUUUGACUGCCAGAAAAAGGCCAAAGGAAUGUGGCACCUUUGGGUGUGUUAUAGCCCUUGGUCGUAUAUGGUGGUUGGGACUGAGGAAAGCAGCGUGCCGAAAGGCCGGGUUUCGACCACGUUCACGCUGAGGAUGUUGGCAUAAUGGCUUUAAGCGACCCGU
rnacentral:rRNA from 1 species